rnacentral:rRNA from 1 species
UACAGAGGUGGCAAGCGUUGUUCGGAAUUACUGGGCGUAAAGGGCGCGUAGGCGGUCUUGCAAGUCCUGUGUGAAAUCCCUCGGCUCAACUGAGGAACUGCACAGGAAACUGCUUGGCUUGAGUUCGGGAGAGGGAAGCGGAAUUCCGGGUGUAGCGGUGAAAUGCGUAGAGAUCGGGAAGAACACCCGUGGCGAAGGCGGUGUGCUGGGUUGCACCUGACGCUGAGAUGCGAAAGUGUGGGGAGCAAACGGGG